GGGGUUGUAGCUCAGUGGAAGAGCAUCUUCUGGGCAUGCAGAAGGUCCCGGGUUCAACCCCCAGCAUCUUCA
rnacentral:tRNA from 1 species